AACGAACGCUGGCGGCAGGCCUAACACAUGCAAGUCGAACGCCCUAGCAAUAGGGAGUGGCAGACGGGUGAGUAACACGUGGGAACCUUCCCUAUAGUACGGAAUAGCCCAGGGAAACUUGGAGUAAUACCGUAUACGCCCGAAAGGGGAAGGAUUUAUCGCUAUAGGAUGGGCCCGCGUAGGAUUAGCUAGUUGGUGAGGUAAUGGCUCACCAAGGCGACGAUCCUUAGCUGGUCUGAGAGGACGACCAGCCACACUGGGACUGAGACACGGCCCAGACUACUACGGAAGGCAGCAGUUGUGGAUCUUGCGCAAUGGGCGAAAGCCUGACGCAGCCAUGCCGCGUGAAUGAUGAAGGUCUUAGGAUUGUAAAAUUCUUUCACCGGGGACGAUAAUGACGGUACCCGGAGAAGAAGCCCCGGCUAACUUCGUGCCAGCCGCCGCCGUAAGAC
rnacentral:rRNA from 1 species